CGGCACAGCGUCAGAGGCGGGGACGCGCGCUGGUCUAUUUUUGGGCAUCCGGAUGGCGACUGCGGGAAAUCGAGUUCUUAUGCUGGGGCGAAAGGUGUGUCUGCAGGAGCCAAAUCCAAAUGAGCAGUCCAGGUACUUCAGAGUUUUAACCUGAGCGAAACAGGAAUGUCUCGGGUCUUAACAGGACCGUCCGCCCGCUCGGAAGAGGCGAAUCUCCCACGGCAGACGUCUGGGUGUGCGAAUGCCAGUUGAGCGGGGCCUCGAGGACGCGUCACACACAGCGAGGAUUUGAGGAGGGAAGCGCCUUCCAGAGCUUCAGAGAAGAGGCAGAAGUGUGCAAACAGGAGCAGGUCCAAGAUUUGCAUGGCCAGAAGCAAUUCUUGAUCCUCUUGGCUAGAUUCGAAGAUUUGGCCACCUCCAGACGCUACCACACUCUGGGACAGUGGGAGAUUUGGAACAGCUUUGAGAAGAGCAAGGAUCCCAGGAUGAUGGCUCACAAAGGGCUUCCCUGGUUAUUUACUUCUGACUCUUGAAAGCUUAAAGAAAUUGUGCCUGAGAGGUUCAGUACCUUGUCCAGGGACACCCAAUUUGUGCAGAGCCGGG
rnacentral:lncRNA from 1 species